rnacentral:rRNA from 1 species
GACGAACGCUGGCGGCGUGCCUAACACAUGCAAGUCGAACGGGGUCCAUGAGAGCUUGCUCUCGGACGACCUAGUGGCGAACGGGUGAGUAACACGUGAGAAACCUGCCUUGGAGUGGGGAAUAACUCGGGGAAACUCGAGCUAAUACCGCAUACCUUCCUUUGAUCGCAUGGUCAGCUGAAGAAAGAAUUUCGCUCCAAGAGGGUCUCGCGGCCUAUCAGUUUGUUGGUGGGGUAACGGCCUACCAAGACUACGACGGGUAGCUGGUUUGAGAGAACGAUCAGCCACACUGGAACUGAGACACGGUCCAGACUCCUACGGGAGGCAGCAGUGGGGAAUCUUGCGCAAUGGGCGAAAGCCUGACGCAGCAACGCCGCGUGCGGGAUGAAGGCCUUCGUGGUUGUAAACCGCUUUCAGCAGGGACGAAAAUGACGGUACCUGCAGAAGAAGCCCCGGCUAACUACGUGCCAGCAGCCGCCGUAACAC